AAGAGAAAUGGUAACAGCCAGAGAAGAUGACCUAUUGUUUAGAAACGUUUAUUAAAUCCUUGAAUAUUCAAAGAAAAGGACAGAGCUACAUUUGUCAGUUACAAGCCACAGAGAAUUGCUAAAGAAAGUUUUGGAACCAUGCUGACUUGAUUUUACUCAGACUUCUUCAUUUCAAGCAAAGGAAGCAGAUUCUGGCUCUUUCACCAGAGAAGAGGCUUAGUAAGCAGAUAUCAGGAGCUCACAGGUUUGUUGUGAAAAGAACAAGAUUCCAGGACAAAGCUCAAGACCUAGCUUCCAGGAGCAUGCUUUGAAUGGCCGAACUGGCCUCCCAGGAAAACUUUUCAUCAUAAAUGUCACUGAGCAGUAGAUUCUACAGCUUGCCUUACAGAAGCCAAAUAUUUGACUUUGCUACAAACUCAACUACUGCCUGAGUCUUGCUGCUUAUGAUUGUCUCACAACCACCACUGGCUGGUAAAGCCAAAUGGCUCUGGCACCAUUCUUGCUGCAAGGUGGACUUUGAGUGCUUGUCCAUCCUCAUGUGGCUCCCUUCCGAACCAAAAUCUCACUCCAGCUCAUAUGACUGGUGGGGCCUUUGAAAUAUUAGCAAUAUUUUCUACGUGGAUAAUAGGAUGGAUACUUACAGCUGGUAAAUAAUAAGACAGGUUUCAAAAUACCUGAGAGAGGUGAAGAAGUGACCAGGAAGUUAGUAGAAUAUAGUGGUUUUAAAAAAUAUAGAAAGGUGAGCUGGUUAUAUGUCAUUUACUUCAAAGGAAAGAUUUAAAAAUGGUGGACAAAUGCCAAAAGCAUCCUAUCUUUGUAAUAUGUUGGAUAGGAGCCAAGAAGUAAUCAACAUUUUGAGAUGCAGUACAAGAGAGGAAAUGGCCUUAAAGAAAGAUCGGAGUUCAGUGGAGCCCAAAAAGUGAAGGGAGGUGCAGAAAGAAACAAGUUAUUUAAAUAAUUUGUGGGCCAUAGGAGAGUUUGUUUUUGAUGGGGCAGAGAUUGUUAAAAAAUAAUUGAAUGAUAUUAAAUAGAAAUAUAUAUGCAAAAAUGUCCUCAUCAUUUUUUUCUAUGGUUGUCCACUGAAAUAUUCAAAUAUUUUUAAAUGUAUGAAGCUGACAUUUGAGACAGUGUCAUGCAUGGGAUGAUGCCUAAAGUUGCUCUCCAAAGCAAAGAGACAAAUAAUGGAAUUUUCUUUUCAUUGUUGUUGAAGAGUAUGUCUCAAAAUUGUAGCAUUCAGUAGUUUGUUUCUUUAUAAAAAUUACAACAUUUUCAUUUUAAUGAAUUUACUAAAACUUGAUUAAAAAAAGAACAAAAUUCAACACAAUAUAAAUUUUUACAAUAGAUGUCUUUUAUCGCUAAAAGACUAUUUUAACUUCAGCAAAAAAGAAAUUGUAGAAGAUUUUAGGGAAAAGCCAAUAUGACCUUAGAGGAAUUUGCACUCUUUGGGCUCCACACAUGUGCUGCAGUUAUCAGAGUUCCCUGACUCCAAGUGUUUAUUCAAAUCUGUCAGCUAAAUCAUAGAUCAAAAUGCAAAAUGUAACACUCAGGAACAUUACAUGGAUUUGUGACACUCCCUGGAGGACUUUGGGUCCAUAAAGCAAUGAAUGGAUUAUAAGAAGACAUAAAUAUGGUAUUUUCAUCUAUGACAGGUGCAAUCUUACUCCAAUGUUAUUUAUAUUAUAUAAAAGAAAACUGAACCUAUUUUCCUCAGUCCCUUAGGGAUGAAUAAGUGAAUAGCUCACCAUUAAUUUCCAGUUUCUAUGAAUUCACCUUUGAAAAUGUCAUGUUUUCGAGUUUUUUCAACUGGCCAAUGUUUAUUUAUUUUUACAUGUGUUUACUUAUUUUAUAUUUAUUUAACAAUGAAACCAAAAGGAAAAUGGGAGAUGAAAUUGUGAUAACACAAUAAUAUUUUUUUCUUUUUUUGCCAUGAUCCUAAAUCAUGCAAAAUUUACUCAACUUUGAAUUUUAAUGACCAAUUGGGCACCCAGACUAGCUUCCCAUAAAUCCUGCUCUCAGUCUUUUAACAUCUUUUGCAUCCUCAUCCUUACUUCCUGUUAGUUAGGUGGGUUAUAUGGCGUUCUGGAAAAAGCAUGGGUCUUGAAUUUAGAGGAGGAGUACGCUAGUAUUUACUCCACCUAGCUUGUAUCUUUAUAAACGUGCAGAACUAAAAUUUAACCAUGAGAUUCCUUAAGCUUCUCCAGCUUCAGAAUGUUAUAUUUUGGUCCAGUCAAAAUCUAUGAUUUUUUAAAAUGGUUUUAGCCUCACAAUUUUGAAAAAGAAUCAUGAAGUCAUCAGUAAAAAAGCAGGAGUUUAGCCACAAUAUAAAAUGCCAUUUUCACACUGUAUUAAACUUGGGCCAGUGAAGAAACUGCUGAGUUAGUUUUCUGUCUUGAAGGCUUAGCUGUUGUUUUCUUGUCCAAAAUAGAAAGAAGAUGGAUACUUUAAUUACUUAGGUUAACUACCGCUUAGCUAGAACUUUUGCUUUAUAGGUAACCAAGAGAUUUAUAAGAAUACAUCUUUCAAUAUUAUGGUAAUGAAUGGCAAAAUACUAAUUAGGUAGGAUUAGAAAACAAUUUAAUAUUCUUAUUGCAAAAAUCGGAACCAAUCAGAAUCAUGAUGUUUUACUAUGUGAAAUUGUUUGGCUUCCAAUAAUUAUCCAGUGACAGGUGGCAGCCAUAUUGUGAAUCUCUUAAGCAUUGGUAAAAAAAAAAAAUUAAAAGGUACUUAAAUAAUAAUUAAAAUACUAAAAUAUAACUAUUUAUUUAAUUUUAUCUGCCCUGCUCCCACCCCAGCUCAUUUAACUUAAAAACUCUGUUCUGAAGAAAACUACAAGGAUUUGUCCACAAGGGAUAAAAUAAUCCUCAAUUAAAUUCAAUUCAGCAAAUAGUUAUUGAAUCUCUUUUCAUGUUAUUGAACUUAUGUUCUUUAAUUUCUCCUAUCUUAUUGAAAAAGAAAAUGAUAAUACAUACAAAUAGAAAAUAUUUUAAUUUUAGGUUGUUGCAAAAGUGUUUGCGGUUUUUGCAAUUUCUUUUCAUCAAACCUAAUAAAUUUGGUAAAACAAAUUUUACUUUAUUUUUUAAAAUUGUGUCAAUUUUCAAAAAUAAAUUUCCUGUGAUGUUUUCUGAUUUGUGAUUUUAACCAAUGAAAUGGUCAGUGUGAAAUAUUUUUGUUGUUGUCAUCACUUCAAAGUAAUGAAAACACUUUAGAUUGUUCAACUGUAUAGAAGGUUUGCCUUCACACAAUUUUAUAAAUUGUUGAUUGUGUGUCUCUCUAAGUUUUCUCUAAUACAUGCAAAAUAAUGUUGUAAGUAAAAUGAAUGGCUGAC
rnacentral:lncRNA from 1 species